UGAACUUGCGGCUGUCAAGCUCCCGGCCGGGCUGACUCAAGCGGAGGCGCGCGGAACAGUCGCCGAGGCGAUUCCCGCCCAGGUUGUUCCAAGUUGUUGGGAAAACAGACGACACACUUGCCCUGCUCAACCUGGCCUGCAUGAUGACCAUCACCUUCCUGCCUUACACGUUUUCGUUAAUGGUGACCUUCCCUGAUGUGCCUCUGGGCAUCUUCUUGUUCUGUGUGUGUGUGAUCGCCAUCGGGGUCGUGCAGGUA
rnacentral:lncRNA from 1 species